ACGGGAGGCAGCAGUGGGGCAUAUUGGGCAAUGGGCGCAAGCCUGACCCAGCAAUGCCGCGUGAAGGAAGAAGGCUUUCGGAUUGUAAACCUCUGUUCUUGGUGACGAAGAAGUGACGGUAGCCAAGGAGAAAGCCACGGCUAACUACGUGCCAGCAGCCGCGGUAAUACGUAGGGAGCAAGCGUUAUCCGGAUUUACUGGGUGUAAAGGGCGUGUAGGCGGGACAUCAAGUCAGAUGUGAAAGCACGAGGCUCAACUUCGUGUCUGCAUUUGAAACUGACGUUCUUGAGUGUUGGAGAGGCUAACGGAACUCCUAGUGUAGCGGUGAAAUGCGUAGAUAUUAGGAAGAACACCAGUGGCGAAGGCGGUUAGCUGGACAAUAACUGACGCUGAGGCGCGAAAGCGUGGGUAGCAAACAGGAUUAGAUACCCUGGUA
rnacentral:rRNA from 1 species